rnacentral:sRNA from 1 species
UCGCAGCCCGACUUGAGUGGAGCUCUUUUUCUUUUUUUGCGAAAAAAGAAAAAAGCGGGAACGGAAGGCGGAUUAAGC